GGACUACUCGGGUAUCUAAUCCCGUUCGCUCCCCUGGCUUUCGUUCCUCAGCGUCAGAAAAUCCCCAGUGAGCCGCCUUCGCCUCCGGUGUUCCUGAUGAUAUCAACGCAUUUCACCGCUCCACCAUCAGUUCCGCUCACCUCUAGAUUCCUCGAGCACGACAGUUUAGAGCGCAAUUCCUCGGUUAAGCCGAGGGCUUUCACACCCUACUUUUCAUGCCGCCUACGAACUCUUUAAGCCCAGUAAUUCCGAAUAACGUUUGGGCCUCUCGUAUUACCGCGGCUGCUGGCAC
rnacentral:rRNA from 1 species